UACAGAGGCCCCAAGCGUUACUGAGAAUCACUGGGUUUAAAGGGUGCGUAGGUGGCGCUGUAAGUCGGGUGUGAAAUUUCGGAGCUUAACUCCGAAACUGCAUUCGAUACUGCGGUGCUUGAGGACUGGAGAGGAGACUGGAAUUCAUGGUGUAGCAGUGAAAUGCGUAGAGAUCAUGAGGAAGACCAGUGGCGAAGGCGGGUCUCUGGACAGUUCCUGACACUGAGGCACGAAGGCCAGGGAGCAAACGGG
rnacentral:rRNA from 1 species